rnacentral:rRNA from 1 species
CUCGCCGGAAGACCAAGGGUUCCUGUCCAACGUUAAUCGGGGCAGGGUGAGUCGACCCCUAAGGCGAGGCCGAAAGGCGUAGUCGAUGGGAAACAGGUUAAUAUUCCUGUACUUGGUGUUACUGCGAAGGGGGGACGGAGAAGGCUAUGUUGGCCGGGCGACGGUUGUCCCGGUUUAAGCGUGUAGGCUGGUUUUCCAGGCAAAUCCGGAAAAUCAAGGCUGAGGCGUGAUGACGAGGCACUACGGUGCUGAAGCAACAAAUGCCCUGCUUCCAGGAAAAGCCUCUAAGCAUCAGGUAACAUCAAAUCGUACCCCAAACCGACACAGGUGGUCAGGUAGAGAAUACCAAGGCGCUUGAGAGAACUCGGGUGAAGGAACUAGGCAAAAUGGUGCCGUAACUUCGGGAGAAGG